rnacentral:rRNA from 1 species
UACGAAGGGUGCAAACGUUGCUCGGAAUUAUUGGGCGUAAAGCGCACGUAGGCGGCUUGGCAAGUCGGAUGUGAAAUCCCUCGGCUCAACCGAGGACGUGCAUCGGAAACUGCGGGGCUUGAGUACUGAAGAGGAUCGCGGAAUUCCCGGUGUAGAGGUGAAAUUCGUAGAUAUCGGGAGGAACACCGGUGGCGAAGGCGGCGACCUGGGUAGAUACUGACGCUGAGGUGCGAAAGCGUGGGGAGCAAACAGG